rnacentral:rRNA from 1 species
AACGAACGCUGGCGGCAUGCCUAACACAUGCAAGUCGAACGAGACCUGCGGGUUUAGUGGCGGACGGGGGGGUAACGCGGGGAAACCUGCCCUUAGGUUUGGAAUAAAUCGCUGGAAGGGGUGCUAAAACCGGCGAAUGUCGUGGGACCAAAGAUUGAUCGCCUUUGGGUGGGCCCGCGUUGGAGUAACUAGUUGUUAGGGUAAAAGCCUACCAAGGCGAAGAGCCAAAGCUGGUAUGGGAGGAUGAUCAGCAACACUGGGAGGGAGACACGGCCCAGACUCCUGCGGGAGGCAGAAGGGGGGAUUAUUGGACGCUGGGCGGAAGCAUGAGCCAGCAAUGCCGCGUGGGUGAUGAAGGCCUGAGGGUUGUCAGGCUCUUUUGCCCGGGAUGAUAAUACCGGAACCGGGGAAUAAGGCUCGGCUAACCUCGUU